rnacentral:lncRNA from 1 species
GGCGGAGGAAGCUCAUCAACGGGGCCACGCACUGAGUGCUCGUCACUCCCCGGCCCCUGGGAAGGUCUGAGACUGGGGCCUCCCGCGGCCCUAACCGGGCUCUCCCUGAGCGGGGAGGUGAGUUCCCAGAGAGCUUUGGAAGGAAAGCACAUUUUACCUUUCUGGUUGUUGUAACUUUGUUCUUACGUUUACAGUGACUAGUGCGUAUGCAUUGUGUAAAUUAAUGGGGUUUGUUAUAUUCAUUCAUUCAUU